rnacentral:rRNA from 1 species
CCUUAAUAGCGGCUGCACCAUUAGGAUGUCCUGAUCCAACAUCGAGGUCGUAAACCCCCUCGUCGAUAGGGACUCUGGGAGAGGAUUGCGCUGUUAUCCCUAGGGUAACUCGGUCCGUUGAUCGGCGUUCGCCGGAUCAUUUUUGGUCAGAAAUUCUGGUGCUUAGAGUUGUGGCUCUUGGUUGUGGGGGCAGUGUCCCCAGUCCACAUGGGGGCUUUGUUUUCCCCCGCGGUCGCCCCAACCAAAGACAUAGGGGCUAGGGGUCACUGUGUUUUUACUUGUUAAUUCAAGGUUACUUGACGUGAUCUGCCUGGUGUCUAAAGCUCCAUAGGGUCUUCUCGUCUUAUGUAUUUAUGUCCGCUGCUGCACGGG